UUCUUUUCUGUAACCAAGGAACAGUUUUCCCCCUUGAGAAAUUUCAUUCUCUUCCACAUUAAGUGAGAUGGGUUAAUGACAGAUGGAUCUCCCUAGAAGAAGGGAAGCAAAACAAACAAUUACACUGAUGACCAUGCUUUGGAAACAGGAUGAUUCAUAUCCACACUGGUUUACAGCACACAACUUGCAUCACUGCCAAACAGUUUUUCAAGAAACAUUUCAGCUUUAAACUGUCCUGAAUCUUUGCCAUUGGAGCUAACCCCUUAAGGAGCCUCUUAGCAACACAAAAUGCCAAGUGAACACACAGAGGACUAAAUGCAAAGGAAAAGGCAUCCCACAGAGCUAUGAGAAGGAGGAGU